ACUUUGGACCAUGAUCACAAAGUGCUGAAGGAAAGUGAAAACAACCACCAGACAAGAAUCAGCAAAGCUCUUCUGCAAAGACAAAGGUGACCAACAAAAAUGCUGUGCAUAUUGGGAAGUGCAAGGCCCAGGAACUAGCUGUGAAAUCAGCACCAACAGCUGGAGUGCCCUCACAUUAGUGAGAUGGCAACUUUGUGGCCACCUGACUGAAAGAAGAAGGUGAAAACACAAGGAUUACAAAGAAGAACAAGGAAGCUUAUGGAGGAUGUGCAAGUUCAUUGUCUUGGAUGACUCAGUGUUACUCAAGGAUAUAUCAGAAGACUUGGAGCUAGAAGCCUCAAAUGAGAGAGAACACAAAGAUCACACUGAGUGAGGUAACCUAGACCCAGAAAGGUGUCUCUUCUAAUAGAUUCCACAUCCAGCAGUGCUGACACUGAAGAUUAACCACCACAGCUAACAGCCUGUUACGCCCAGGUCAUGGUCAUCCUCUCAUCAGAGUUAUCCAGUCCAAAUUGCCAGUGGAGCUAAGGUUAAGAAACAUUGUUCUGUCUAGAUAAACGUGUGUGCUGGAGGAACUGGAGGUGGUAAAAUUUCAUUACAUUCUACAAUUUGCCAUCAAAACAUUUGGGAACAUUAGGUGCCUUUAGUUUUAUUUAGACCCCAAAGUCAAUUACUUAAUUAAAUCAAG